GUCAUUUUUGGUUACUUCCUAAUAUUGGUCACUUUUUUGGAAGAGGAAUGAAAAAGGUCCUUGCCUCGUGUCUUCAUUUUUCAAAAGUCGUUUUUUAACUAAAUCAUUUCCAUCCAUUGAUGGUUGGAUGAUGGUUUAAAUAAUUUCUUUGAUUGGAUUGUGAGAACGGGCGUUAAUAUUAUUUCUCUGUAUCCGAAUAUGUCUUGUGAUUGGAACCUCAUGUAACCGCUAUAAGUUGGCCAGUUAGAUAAAUUUUCAACAAUUUACUGAACAACAAAGUGCUUAAUUUCAUUGUGAAGUGGAACAGGAACAGGAACAGAUUAAUAAUACAAGUGUAGUUCAUGGGUAUUUUACAACUAAAAAUACUUUAUAGCGGAUAGAGAGAGAGAUGGAGUAAGUAUUAAAAGUGCUCCUAGAAUUGCAUUGAAUAAGAAUGUCGCCACAUAAGUAUCCUGAUAAAUUUGAAGGAAAACGCCAAAUAUUAUGAUAAUAAUAAUACAAAAUAAAAUCACUCCACACCCUUUGUCUAGACUAGAAAGUUUCUGAACUGUUAUUUAUUGUAUACAUCUGUAUACUUUUUCAACUUCUCUUUUAUUGAAGAUAAUUCCUUCUCUCUCCCAUACAUAAUAAUUCUUAAAAGAUACAUAAAGCACUAGCAUAAAUUGACCGCCACAUAUUUACUGAAGCGCGGCAGAUCAAUAUACAGGGGGUUACCUUAUACCUGUCUCAUUACCUCCGCCAAAUAUGAGCCCCAUAUGUAAGGCGUAUCUGAUUCAAAAUUUUCAUCAGAAUUUCUCGAGCACAUCAUAUUAAUGCAGAGUGAGUUAGUUACAUUCUAAAAGGUUCGAUUCCACUAAUCUAACCAUUUGAGAGUUUAGUUAGGGUUGGAUAUAAUUUUAAUUUAAAUUGGUUCAUACACACAUCUCUAGAUUUUAUUCAAUUUAUGCUUCCAAUUUAUAAAAAAUUUUUCUGUUUAUCAUUUAUAUUGAAAUACCAAUGCUAUACAAUUUCUUUUUAUUAUCGUAAUUUUACUUAGUUUAUAUUCGUUAUACAUUCAUUUAAUAUGGGCUCCCCCCAGAUGCUUGCAUUCAUGUUGCAUGUUUCAGUUUUUGAAAAACAUAUUUUUUUCAAAUUAUUUUCUCAUAAAUACAAGUUUUCGACUUAAAAACAUACACUUUUUUAUUUGCAUGCUAUUUCCUUAGCUUAUCGGAUAAUUAAGUUUGAUGAUUGAUUUGAGACAGCACGUCUAAGACAUAAAGAUGAACCAUAUAUCUUAAUCUGACGAGAACUGGUGUAUUCUGUGUGGUUUGACCGUUGCUAAAAAAGUAAGUAAUUUUUGGAUACAUUCAAUACAAAACAUAUUGAAAAAAUCAAAUAAGCAUAUUAUUUCAUUAUUGUACUAGAAUUGAGUAAACUCAAUAACUUUCUGCUAAAAUUAGCAAGAAUAUAAAGUUAAUGUAUUCACAAAUUAGCCCAAUUUGCGAUCCUAAACUGAAAUAUUUCCCUAGAUUCCAAUAAUUUUACUAAUCCGCGAUUAACAAUGUUAACAAUUUAAUUUCAUUCUAUUAUGUAAAAAAGAUAUUUUUGUCUUAGAUUGGAGCUCAUUACAUACUUCAUGAUUAUCUUCGUAAUAUAUACCCUAGAAACCAUAUCGUUAAUUUUUAACAAAACUCUCAACAAAUCCCCCUAUUUCUAUCCGAGUGGAAAAAUUAACUAGUUAUUCUCAUUGUCUUGAAUGGUUUCUUCGUCAUUCAAAUUGUACAGAAAAGAAAUUUUCAUUAUUUAAAAAAUUCGUUCCAACUACUGAGCUACACUGGUGUUCUUACACAACAUCAACAAAGUGUCUUCGAAUUAAGUUCAUCUAGUGAAAAUCAAGACAUAGCUCAUAUAUUUUACAAUUAUUCAUCAAAUAGUUCUAUCCAUAAUUUGUUCAAUAUUUCGAAUAGCGAAAUAAAUCACCGAAGGUGGAAAAUCAAUUGUUUAAAAACUUUAUUUACUACUUUACACUUAGAAAAUUCCCGACAAUAAAAUUUACAUUUAAUUAUAUGACAACUAAUUGAAUGACUAACUAAGAUGUCCUUUUUAUUUAUACAUAAUGUGAAUGUUACGAUAAGCGAAAUUUUAUAGUGUCGUCAGCUUCUUCUAUAUUGGGUUCUUGAAAAUGAGUGCCAUAACUUCUCCCUCCUGAAGUUUCAGCUUCCGUGGGGUGCAACUAAGGAAGGUGAACAUCUUCGGAUUGAUUUUCUUGGAUUGGUUUCUUGCGUCGAAUUAUUUAAAGGGCCCAAUAUAAACAUAGAAGGAUUAGGAGACAGUAAAUUAUUAUCGUCCAAGUGUUUAAAAAUUGGAGUAUUUCUGAAAAUUCUUUCUCGAAGGGUGUUGAGGUCAUCUAGGUCUGUUUUUGGAAGGCUAAAAUUAGGAAUCUUGUCAAUGAUUGGGUAUGUACAAUCUCUGGAUAAAAAUGGGUUGGUUUCAGCUUCUAUGGGUCCAUUAUCUAUUAUAGCUUUGGAGUCCGUGAUAAUUUGACAGGAUGUCGGAAUAGUGGCUAGGUAGGUACCAAUGUAGUUGAGGAUUUCUUCUUGUUGAUGACAGAUUACAUUGAUGUUUGUGUUUGAUUCUUCGAAUCUUUUCGAUAAUAUUUGAGAGUUACUUAGGAGCAUCUGACGGCAGGUGGAAGAGGUCUUGAGAUUUAGAAGUUGAACUUUGCAUGGACUAUUGGAGUCAACUCGUUGUAGGUUCAUCUCUUGACACAUAUAUUCUUGUCUAGCUAAUUUUAUGCAUGGUUCAUCCAAAAGUUUGUAGUACAAUUCAUAUUUUAAUAAAAAUUUAUUUUGAGGAAUGAUAACCUUCAAUUGACUCUCACUCUGAAUUGGUAUGGGAUACAAAUGGUAAAGCUCGAAAUCAAAAGCAUGGGUUACAGGUACAUGUAAAAUAUAUGUGAUUUUGUUGUUUCUUAUGUAAUAAGAGACUUUAAUUAAAUUUUCAAAAAUUGGGAUAUUGUUUAUUUUUAGUUUUAUAGGCACUCGAUCUUUAUUGACAUUACUGUAUAGUCUUUCUAAAAGUUUGAACAAUUCACUAGGUUUUAUUAUACUUUAGUGCAUGAUCCCAGCUUUUGCAAAUGAUACCGAAUUUUCUAUAUCUUGUAAUAUUGAAUUUAAUAUUUCGUAUAAAUUCAAGAUUUGGAAGAUUACGUCUCUUAUGAAGGUAUUGGUCUCAAAGCUAGAUUGAUUGUUUCCAAUUUGCGUUGUGAUAUAAAUUGAUUUUGGUUUAUUUGUUGAAUACUCUUAUUAAAGUUGUCUAUUAGAGAUAUUGCUACGGAAUUUUGGGUUUUUUAUUUUAUCACUUAAUUGAUUUUGGUUUAUAAUAAUAAAAUAUUGAGUGAUAGUAUUUGGUUACUUUUACGAUGCCAAGUUUUGAAAUGAUAAUUACGUGUCAAAUGAAUAUAUUCUUUUUAAAGGCCGUUUUAUGUUACUCAUGUGAAUUUUUCCGUGUUUUUCCUUCGAGACUACUUUACUGACUAUUUACUGAUUUGAUUCUAACCGGCUUAUGAAAUUUGUUUGCGUUUUUCUGUCUCUUUUUCUUCUUUAUAAAAAUCUUUUGUUUUGCUACAAAUAUUUCAGGACUUUGUCGAUUUUUAUUUAUUAUUUCUAAACGAUUAAAAUUUUGAGUUUUCAAAAGUGACGUGGAUGAUUUCGAAUGGUUUAUUCGCAGUCGGUGUCAAUCAAAUUCAUUUUCAAAUUUACGGGAUGCCUAUCAUAUUUGCACUGUUGGCAUAUUUCACACUCGUUAAUAUAUGUUUGAAUAGAUUUUUUCAUUUCCGGCCAAUAAUACUUUUUUUUGAUUCUUUGAAGGGUUUCAUUAAUUCUACGGUGGUUUGAUUUAAUUUCUUGAUAAUUUUUUUAUUAUUUCUUUGAUAUCGUCCUUGUUUGUGACAUCUAGUAAUUUUAUGGAACAUUUUUUCAGUUUUAUGGAUAAUGACUUGAAAUAUUUUGCAAGCAAGGUGAGAAUGGUUCGUAAAGGCGCGCGUAAAGGUAUCUUUGAAGUAUAGAUAAUAUUGAAUAUUUGGAAUUAUAUAUUCUUUAAAAAUAUUGAUUACAUCGUUUUCAAAAUUAUUUUUAGAUAGCUAAACUAAUCCGUUGUUAAUUGUCAAAUAAAACGAUUCUUUUUAAUUUUACGGGUGACUGAUUUAAGGAAUAUUUGAUUUUUACCAUAAUUAACAGCACAUUCAAUCGACGGUAUGACUAUAAUUGGAUUUUCAUUAUAAUUUGAAUGUAUUGUAUCUCUGCUAUCAGUUACAUCUUUAUUUUGUUGGUCGCUAGUUUUUCUGAAUGUCGUCUUCUGCAGUUGUUUCUUCAAUGUUGACUAUCAUUGAGAAAUCGUCAUUGUCUUGUAGGGUAUUGUCGAUCGUGGUGUCGUUUAUUAAUUUAUUGGUAGUUGGUAAAGGGGCAUUUAAAGUUUGAUUCGCUUGUUCGGACGUACUAGGCUUAUUGUAAUAAUUUGAUUUUUAGCCUAAAAUUUCAUCGACAUCUCUCCAAAAUCUCUUAUCGUUCCAAAAUGAAUUGGUAUCUUUAGUAUGGAGUUCUAUUCGCGAUAAACAAUCUACAUUAUUUGAUUUACCUUUUCUAUAGAAAAUUUUAUAGUCAAAUUCUUCUAAUUUAAUUCUCCAACGAAGUAAUUUGUAAUUUGGUUCUUUUAAAGAGUUCAACCACACGAGAGGUUUAUGAUCUGUUAUUAUAUUGAACUGACGGCCAUAUGGACGAAAGUAUUUUGUUGUCCAAACAAUAGUAAGUAGCUCCUUCUCAAUUGUAGAGUACUUUUGCUCUGAGUCGUUGAGUAUUCUUGAAGCAUAUGCUAUAGGGAGAUCUUGUUCGAUAGGCACUUGUGAUAAGAUAGCACCUAGUGCUACAUUAGAAGCGUCGGUAGUAAGAUUGAAUGUUUUAUUGAAGUCUGGAUAUUGUAAUAUUGGUUCGUUAGUCAAAAGAGUUUUACAAAUCUCAAAACACGUCAAGUAAUCGUUGUUAAGUUCAGUUUUUGCACUUUUUUUUAAACAUUUCGUGAAAGGUUUGGUUAGUCGUGCAAAUUCUUUUAUAAAACGUAUGUAGUAUCCAAGCAAUCCUAAGAUUGCUAGGAAUUGGAUAGUCAAGUAUUGCUUGAAUUUUUUCAGGGUUCGGCUUAACUCCGUCUGGUGCAACCACGUGGCCAAGAUAAGCGACUUCUUUCCUUAAAAACUUCGAUUUAUCCAGCUGAAUUUUAAAGUUUGCUUCUCUGAGUCUCUGGAAAACCGUCUUUAAGCGUUCUAAAUGUUCUUCUAAGGAGGUUGAAUACACAAUAAUGUCGUCUAGGUAUACAAGACACAUCUCGUUUUGUAUACCUCUUAGUAUAUUAUCGGCAACACGUUAGAACUUUGCUGGCGCAUAUUUCAAUCCAAAAGGCAUGCGCAGAAACUCCCAAUGGCUAUUUUUUCAGUGUUAAAUGCUGUUUUUUCAAUGUCCUUUUCUUCCAUCUCGAUUUGAUGGAACCCACUAGCUAGGUCAAUUGUAGAGAAGUAUUGACAAUUGCCCAAUUUACCCCAAUAAUUUGCCCAAUAUGUAAUAUUUGGUAGGGGGUAUCGAUCCUCUAUAGUCUUCUCGUUUAAUUUCCAAUAGUCGAUGACUACCCUACAUUUUUGUUGAUUACUGGCAUCUAAUUUUUUGCUUACGACCCAUAAAGGGGAAGACCAGGGUGAAUUUGAAUGCCUUAUAUUAUUGGAAUUUAGCAUUUUUUAAAUUUGAUUAGCAACUUCUUGCUUAUGUAUAAAAGGGUACUGAUAAGUUUUUGAAUAUAUGGGUAUUUUGUCUGUUGUACGUAUGAUACGUUUAAUUUUAUUUGUAAAUGAUAGUGGUUCGCCCUCUUUAUAAAAUAUAUCGAUAUAUUCUUGACAAAGUUUUAAUAUUUUUUCAUUUUCUUCUUUGUUCAUGUGAUCCGUUAUAAUUUUAUUAAGGUCUAAUGGUGUAUUGUAUGAGUCAAUAUUAUUUAGGUCAAUGUUUUGUAAUUCGUUUUCGUCAAAGCUUUCGACUUGAAAUGUUUCUGAAAAAUCUAAUGAUACGGUACUGUCAGAUUUAUUUAAUAUUAUUGUUAGAGUAUAUCUAUUUCUUGCAGUAGUAAGACAUUGUGGAAUUUCACAGUUAUAAAAAUUUUGAUAAGGUACAAUAAUAUUUCCAUGAGUGACACUUGUUUUUAUUUUAACAACUUGUUGCGAUCUAGAAGAUACAGAUACAAGAUUAAGGUCAACGUUAACUUUGUGAUAAUGUAGUUUUAUUUGACUAAGAGUGAUAAGAAAUCCUUCUUGGAAAUGUAGUUUUGCUUGUAAUAUCUUGAAAUUAUCUAAUCCAACAAUCGAAAUAAUAAUAAUCGAAAUCCAUCGAAAACAUUAUGAAAUUUUAAAAAUAUAAAAUUUAAAUUUUAUUGGACUCAGGAGGUUAAAUAUGUUUGAGGCCGGAAUUUCGGCUCGAUAUUUAUGAGCAGACUUUUGGAAUAAUGUUGUUACUACGAAAGGGUCAUUUUCAAUUUCGCUAGAAUAGUAUUUAAAAGCCAAGUCGGGAUUUAUAAAUGAUCGACUUGAUCCGGUAUCUACGAGAAAUUUUAGAUUUUAUUUGGGUAAAAUGAUAUAAGGUAAUUCACUUGAUUUGGCGUUAUUAAAAGGUAUUAUGUUAUUUAUAGGCCAAUUUUCCGAGGUACUUAACGAAAAUUUUCGUUUCUAUUUACUC